rfam:Schistosoma mattheei strain Denwood, Zambia genome assembly, scaffold: SMTD_scaffold0017776
AUACAGCUGACGCGUCUCAAAUAGGACGAAAUGUGCGUCCUGGAU